rnacentral:rRNA from 1 species
AGGAUGAACGCUAGCGGCAGGCCUAAUACAUGCAAGUCGGACGGGAUUUAGGAGCUUGCUUCUAAUGAGAGUGGCGCACGGGUGCGUAACACGUAUGUAACCUACCUUCGUCAGGGGGAUAGCCUCUCGAAAGAGAGAUUAAGACCGCAUAACAUUACGAUGCAGCAUUGCAAUGUAAUCAAAUAUUUAUAGGACGAAGAUGGGCAUGCGGAACAUUAGCUAGUUGGUAAGGUAACGGCUUACCAAGGCUACGAUGUUUA